UAAAGCCUUUCCUCAAGCUUGGACAAAAAUAUCUUCAGUUCCUGAAAAGUCUUUUCACUAUGGCAGGAGGUUUUAAGAAGUAAUUCAUAUUUAUGUUCCUUUCAGAGAAAUGUUCUUGGGAAAUGACAUGUACUAUGGUACUGGAAACUUUAUCUUCCUGUCAGAGCUGAUGUGGUAAAGUCAACUGAACAAGAUAAUAACAUAUCUCUUGUAAAGGUGGAAGGGAAAUAGCUUCCUUGACUGAAGAUUGAAAUGAAGGCCCUGACACUAAGGCACGGCAGAAAUCAGGGGAGAAAGGAGAAGUGUUUUGAACAGAAGUUGCAUAUGGAGGAGUCAUACACCAGCUGAGGCCAGCCUAGAAUCUGAGAUGUGGCUAGAUUCUGAUGAGGAACAAAGACCAUAGACUUAAUUCUGUAUGUAGAUAACAUGAGAGGGAAUUCACAGAUAUGAUUAAGUCAAUCAAAAGUCUUGGGAUGUCCUACAAAUAAACAUCUGGAACUCAUUGGUUCUAUAAUUUUU
rnacentral:lncRNA from 1 species